ACACUCCUGCGGGAGGCAGCAGUGGGGAAUUUUGGACAAUGGGCGAAAGCCUGAUCCAGCCAUGCCGCGUGCAGGAUGAAGGCCUUCGGGUUGUAAACUGCUUUUGUACGGAACGAAACGGCCUUUUCUAAUAAAGAGGGCUAAUGACGGUACCGUAAGAAUAAGCACCGGCUAACUACGUGCCAGCAGCCGCGGUAAUACGUAGGGUGCAAGCGUUAAUCGGAAUUACUGGGCGUAAAGCGUGCGCAGGCGGUUAUGUAAGACAGUUGUGAAAUCCCCGGGCUCAACCUGGCAACUGCAUCUGUGACUGCAUAGCUAGAGUACGGUAGAGGGGGAGGGAAUUCCGCGUGUAGCAGUGAAAUGCGUAGAUAUGCGGAGGAACACCGAUGGCGAAGGCAAUCCCCUGGACCUGUACUGACGCUCAUGCACGAAAGCGUGGGGAGCAAACAGGAUUAGAAACCCGAGUAGGCCCAUGAU
rnacentral:rRNA from 1 species